AUACGGAGGAUGCAAGCGUUAUCCGGAUUUAUUGGGUUUAAAGGGUGCGUAGGCGGACAGUCAAGCAGGGGGUGAAAUGCCGGCGCUCAACGCCGGAGCUGCCUUCUGAACUGGCUGUCUGGAGUGGCAGUGCCGUUGGAGGAAUGAGUGGUGUAGCGGUGAAAUGCUUAGAUAUCACUCAGAACACCGAUUGCGAAGGCUUUCGCCGAUACACAGCCAACUCCAGAAGCCACAAAGCGAGGUGAUCACACCAGAUUAGAAACCCUGUCAGUGCACGAGGCAAACGAUGAUACCUAACAGCCGACCCGCUGCGUGUCGGUGGCUAAGCUAAAGCGAUAACGCAUCCCCCUUGCGACUACUACCUCACCGUUGAAACUCAAACGACUUGACGGGG
rnacentral:rRNA from 1 species